UGGGGAAUAUUGCACAAUGGGGGAAACCCUGAUGCAGCAACGCCGUGUGAAGGAAGACGGUUUUCGGAUUGUAAACUUCUUUUCUUAGUGAAGAAGCAAGUGACGGUAGCUAAGGAAUAAGCAUCGGCUAACUACGUGCCAGCAGCCGCGGUAAUACGUAGGAUGCGAGCGUUAUCCGGAAUUACUGGGUGUAAAGGGAGCGCAGGCGGGAUUGCAAGUUGGAUGUGAAGUACCGGGGCUCAACUCCGGGGCUGCGUUUGAAACUGUCGUUCUUGAGUGAAGUAGAGGCAGGCGGAAUUCCUAGUGUAGCGGUGAAAUGCGUAGAUAUUAGGAGGAACACCAGCGGCGAAGGCGGUUCACUGGACUGUAACUGACACUGUGGCACGAAAGCGUGGGGAGC
rnacentral:rRNA from 1 species